rnacentral:rRNA from 1 species
ACGAACGCUGGCGGCGUGCUUAACCCAUGCAAGUCGAACGGAAAGGCCCUGCUUUCAGGGUACUCGAGUGGCUAACGGGUGAGUAACACGUGGGUGAUCUGCCCUGCACUUCGGGAUAAGCCUGGGAAACUGGGUCUAAUACCGGAUAGGAGCCAUUUUUAGCUUGAUGGUUGGAAAGUUUUUUUGGUGUAGGAUGAGCUCGCGGCCUAUCAGCUUGUUGUUGGGGUAAGGGCCUACCAAGGCGGCGGCGGCUAGCCGGCCUGGGAGGGAGGACGGCAACAUUGGGACUGGGACUGGGACCAGGCCCCGACGGGUGCGGGAGGUGGCAGUGAUGAAGAAUGGGGCACAGGCCAGAUCCAGCGCCACCGCUGGGGGGUUAGCGACCUAGGGCUUAUAGUCGCAUUGCGCUAGGAACGAGGCUUUUUGUGACGGUACCUGGAGAAGAAGCACCGGCUAACUCCGUG